rnacentral:rRNA from 1 species
GAUGAACGCUAGCGGCAGGCCUAAUACAUGCAAGUCGAGGGGCAGCAGGAAUAGCAAUAUUCGCUGGCGACCGGCGCACGGGUGCGUAACACGUAUACAAUCUGCCUUUAACAGGGGGAUAGCCCGGAGAAAUCCGGAUUAAUACCCCAUAACAGUGAUCUUGGCACCAAGGACACUUAAAAGCUCCGGCGGUUAAAGAUGAGUAUGCGUCUGAUUAGCUAGUUGGUGAGGUAACGGCUCACCAAGGCGACGAUCAGUAGGGGAUCUGAGAGGAUUAACCCCCACACUGAUACUGAGACACGGAUCCGACUCCUACGGGAGGCAGCAGUAAGGAAUAUUGGACAAUGCCCGCAAGGGUGAUCCAGCCAUGCCGCGUGCAGGAAGACGGCCCUAUGGGUUGUAAACUGCUUUUACACCGGAGAAAACCCCACUACGUGUAGUGGGCUGAUAGUAUGGUGAGAAUAAGCAUCGGCUAACUUCGUGCCAGCCGCCGCGGUAA